UAAAUCUACUUGGCUGAAUGAUUCCAUGCUCUAAUAAAAUGAAAAGAACAUGCCUAAUUUUGUGAACGCACUCAUUGUCAAAUGUCAUUUUUUUUGUCAAGCAAAAUUGAAUUAAAAUUUAUAAAACACAGCCCGGACGGAAACAUUGUUAAUAAAUAUGCUGACCAAGAAACAAAACAGAAAGUCGUGGCGGCAAGAAGAAGAGGAUCUCUUGGUGGAAAUUUGGGCCGGCAAAA